rnacentral:rRNA from 1 species
UACGAAGGGGGCUAGCGUUGUUCGGAUUUACUGGGCGUAAAGCGCGUGUAGGCGGUUCGUUAUGUCGGAUGUGAAAGCCCUUGGCUUAACCGAGGAAGUGCAUCCGAAAACUGGCGAGCUAGAGUACUAAAGAGGAUCGCGGAAUUCCCGGUGUAGAGGUGAAAAUGCGCAGAUAUCAGGAGGAACACCGGUGGCGAAGGCGGUUCUCUGGGCAUGUUCUGACGCUGAGGAGCGAAAGUGUGGGGAGCGAACAGG